GUCCAAGACCAUACCACCCUGAAUGUAUCCUAUUUGGUCUGAUCUUGGAAACUAAGCAGGGCUAGGCCUGCUUAGUUUUUGCAUUUAGUCUUUGCAU
rnacentral:rRNA from 1 species